rnacentral:rRNA from 1 species
UACGUAGGGUGCGAGCGUUGUCCGGAAUUACUGGGCGUAAAGAGCUCGUAGGUGGUUUGUCGCGUUGUUCGUGAAAACUCACAGCUUAACUGUGGGCGUGCGGGCGAUACGGGCAGACUGGAGUACUGCAGGGGAGACUGGAAUUCCUGGUGUAGCGGUGGAAUGCGCAGAUAUCAGGAGGAACACCGGUGGCGAAGGCGAGUCCCUGGACAGGUCCUGACGCUGAGGCACGAAAGCUAGGGGAGCAAACAGG